UACGUAGGGGGCAAGCGUUAUCCGGAUUUAUUGGGCGUAAAGAGCUCGUAGGCGGCUGAUCGCGUCGGAUGUGAAAGUUCGGGGCUCAACCCUGAGAGGCCAUUCGAUACGGAUCGGCUAGAGGUAGGUAGGGGAAAGUGGAAUUCCUGGUGUAGCGGUGAAAUGCGCAGAUAUCAGGAGGAACACCGGUGGCGAAGGCGGCGACCUGGGUAGAUACUGACGCUGAGGCGCGAAAGCGUGGGGAGCAAACAGG
rnacentral:rRNA from 1 species